rnacentral:lncRNA from 1 species
ACCGUUCUUUCCUGUUUUACCAGCAUACAGCAAACUUCAAAAUGGCUGUAGUGUAUGAUAAGUGCCUUGCAAUUAAUUUUUCUAGAAGAAUGAUGACUAUAUUAAUUUUGAAGAAAAAUCCAGAAGAACACCUCAAAUGUGAUAGUUAUGGUCCCUAAAUACAAAUCAGCUGGAUCUCAGAAACAAAUCAUGAUAAACCGUCAUCAGCCAAGAAGAGGAACAUCUGUGACUCCAGAAUGACCUGAAUGCUAGAUGCACCAAUAACAGUUUGGUCAAAACCUUCACCUCUAAUUAAAACAUAAGUUAAUCGUAUUCAUUGAAGAAGUUUCUUUCGCAAAUGGAAUACAUUUCUGGCAACAUUG